rnacentral:rRNA from 1 species
GGCGUGCCUAAUACAUGCAAGUCGAACGCACUCUCGUUUAGAUUGAAGGAGCUUGCUCCUGAUUGAUAAACAUUUGAGUGAGUGGCGGACGGGUGAGUAACACGUGGGUAACCUGCCCUAAAGUGGGGGAUAACAUUUGGAAACAGGUGCUAAUACCGCAUAAAACCUAACACCGCAUGGUGUAGGGUUGAAAGAUGGUUUCGGCUAUCACUUUAGGAUGGACCCGCGGUGCAUUAGUUAGUUGGUGAGGUAAAGGCUCACCAAGACCGUGAUGCAUAGCCGACCUGAGAGGGUAAUCGGCCACACUGGGACUGAGACACGGCCCAGACUCCUACGGGAGGCAGCAGUAGGGAAUCUUCCACAAUGGACGAAAGUCUGAUGGAGCAACGCCGCGUGAGUGAAGAAGGUUUUCGGAUCGUAAAACUCUGUUGUUGGAGAAGAAUGUAUCUGAUAGUAACUGAUCAGGUAGUGACGGUAUCCAACCAGAAAGCCACGGCUAACUACGUGCCAGCAGCCGCGGUAAUACGUAGGUGGCAAGCGUUGUCCGGAUUUAUUGGGCGUAAAGCGAGCGCAGGCGGUUUCUUAAGUCUGAUGUGAAAGCCUUCGGCUCAACCGAAGAAGUGCAUCGGAAACUGGGAAACUUGAGUGCAGAAGAGGACAGUGGAACUCCAUGUGUAGCGGUGAAAUGCGUAGAUAUAUGGAAGAACACCAGUGGCGAAGGCGGCUGUCUGGUCUGUAACUGACGCUGAGGCUCGAAAGCAUGGGUAGCAAACAGGAUUAGAUACCCUGGUAGUCCAUGCCGUAAACGAUGAGUGCUAGGUGUUGGAGGGUUUCCGCCCUUCAGUGCCGCAGCUAACGCAUUAAGCACUCCGCCUGGGGAGUACGACCGCAAGGUUGAAACUCAAAGGAAUUGACGGGGGCCCGCACAAGCGGUGGAGCAUGUGGUUUAAUUCGAAGCAACGCGAAGAACCUUACCAGGUCUUGACAUCCUUUGACCACUCUAGAGAUAGAGCUUUCCCUUCGGGGACAAGGUGACAGGUGGUGCAUGGUUGUCGUCAGCUCGUGUCGUGAGAUGUUGGGUUAAGUCCCGCAACGAGCGCAACCCUUGUCGUUAGUUACUACCAUUAAGUUGAGGACUCUAGCGAGACUGCCUGGGUUAACCAGGAGGAAGGUGGGGAUGACGUCAAAUCAUCAUGCCCCUUAUGUGUAGGGCUACACACGUGCUACAAUGGCUGGUACAGAGAGAUGCAAUACCGCGAGGUGGAGCCAAACUUAAAAACCAGUCUCAGUUCGGAUUGUAGGCUGAAACUCGCCUACAUGAAGCUGGAGUUACUAGUAAUCGCGAAUCAGAAUGUCGCGGUGAAUACGUUCCCGGG